UAUAUAUUAAAGUCAAUGGACAACAUUAUUGAUGUGCAUAUUCCUGUAAUAAUGGUAAACAUUUAGAAAAGUUUUUUUUCCGUGUGUAGGCCUACUAUGUAGGCUAUCACUUUUUUCAUAUUUGCAAUAUAACGUAAUUGAAUUCAUAAUGACAUCGCAAAACCAUCGUUUAAGAAGUGACGUCAACAUUUUGCAGGGAGGCAACAUUGAAAACAACAACACAGGAUGUUGACGGAUCACCGUAAACUGUUAGUGCAUGCAGAAAAAUUCUUCGGCCACAGAAAAUAUAACAGCAUACGGGUUGGGAAAGACACGUGGUCGGUCCAUCAGUCACAUGUCUGACGUGAACUCCCAUCCCAAUCUCCCCUCAUCCUUCAACCUGACAGCCAUGACAGCCAAUCCCAUUCUUGAUUGGGCUGAGACUCGAAAGGAAACAGACAAAUGGAGACCAUCACCCUUUCUGGCGCUGAGACACACUAUCUGUAAAUCAAUGAUACCCAUUCCACAUUCAAAACCUGCUGGACAGACAGAGAGACACACACCCACAACAAAAAGUCAAAGCAACAUCAACCAGAAGAUUUACAGUCUUGCACAACUGCUUUCCCCUUCCCGGUGAAGACUAUGUGCACUUAAACCUUCAAGCGUUUGGUGAUUUAUUCAGGAUGCUCACAAGAACAAUCCAUAGAUGUUAUGGGAAA